rnacentral:lncRNA from 1 species
CCCCGCCGCCCCCGCCGCCCGCCCGCCCGGGGCCUGCAGCCCGGUCCCAGGGGCGCGCUUCCCGCCUCAAAGUUCCCGCAGACCCGCCCCGCGCCCUCCCGGGCUCGCCCGGCCUCCCCCCGCCCGCCCGCCGCUCCCCACGUGCUGGGAGUCCGCGUCGCGGCGGGACCGAAGCCCCGGGCCGCCAGCCGCAGGCGGGAGGCGGGGAGGCCGAGGGGCCGAGGGGCCGAGGGGCCGAGGGGCCGGGAGGCCGGAGCUCCGCCGCCCCCGCCCGCCCGUCCGGCGCCGGGAUGCGCCCGCCGCUCACACGCCCCCCGCGCGCCGAGCCCGUCAGCCCGGCCUCGCCCGCCGCCCGCCCCGCCACAUCGCGACCCGCCCGCCGCCCCCUUUCUUACCGGCGGGCGUGCACGGCUCCGCGGGCGGAGGGAGCCGACCGGGCUCCGCGGCCUCCCCCGCGCCCGGGCCCGCGGUCUCCGCCGCCGAGCGAGUCCCCGCGGCUCCGGGCGUCUCGGGGUGAGCAGGAGUCCGUGAGGAGCAGGAGGAGGCGCAGGAGCAGCAGGAGGAGGAGGAGGGGGAGGAAGAAGGGGAAGGACAAGCCCCGGGCCGCCGCCGCCGCCGCCGCCGCCGCACCAACGCGCGAUCCCCCCGCGGAGCGGAUCCAACAAUCAAUUCAUUAUUGAAGCACCAACGGCGAGGAAGGCAGCACAGGCGACAAGUAACGAGCCGUCGUCGUCGCCGCCGCCGCCGCGGCCACGCGCGCGCUCCCGCUCCCGCCGCUUAUCGGCUCCCGGCAGCCGCCAUGACGCCGAGAGAGCGAGCGCAACCGCCGCCGCCGCCGCCGCCGCCGCCGCCGCCGCCGCCGAGGUCGCCGUCGCCUCCGCCUCCCGCGCGACGUCAGCUCCUCGGCUCGCUCCCCGGCUCCACUGGGCGCGAGGCGGGCGGGCGCGCGCACGCCGGGCUCCUCGGGCGCGCGCGCGCGGGCGGGGGGCGGGGCCACGCCGCGGGGGCCGUCGGAGCGGGGGGGGCGGGAGGGAGGCUAUUGGCGGGGGGGGCGCGCACGCGCGAGGGGCGGGGGCGCGCACGCGCGGAGGGCGGGGGCGCGCACGCCGGCCGCGCGGGGGCCGCCGGACUCUGGCCGCCGGGGCUCGCUCGGGCGCCCUCGCUUAGCGGCGGGGAUUCGGUUCCGGGAAGCGGGAGCUGCGGGCUCGCUCCGCGCGGAUUUGGUGCCAAGGCCCACCUUCCGAGGCAGAGGAGCGUGAAUGUGGUAGCUGCGUUCUCAAAACGAUCCUUUUCAUCUCUUCGGAAAUAA